rnacentral:rRNA from 1 species
GACGAACGCUGGCGGCGCGCUUAACACAUGCAAGUCGAACGGAAAGGCCUGCUUUCCCUUGUGGAUUGCGGGUACUCGAGUGGCGAACGGGUGAGUAACACGUGAGUGAUCUGCCCCCAACUUGGGUAUAAGCCUGGGAAACUGGGUCUAAUUCCCGAUAGGACUGCAGGGUGGUGCCUGUGGUGGAAAACGAUUUUCUAGUGGUUGGGGAUGAGCUCGCGGCCUAUCAGCUUGUUGGUGGGGUAAUGGCCUACCAAGGCGGCGACGGGUAGCCGGCCUGGGGGGGUGGACGGCCACAUUGGGACUGGGAUACGGCCCAGAGUCCGACGGGAGGCAGGAGUGGGGAAUAUUGCACAAUGGGCGGAAGCCUGAAGCAGCGACGCCGGGUGGGGGAUGACGGCCUUCGGGUUGUAAACUCCUUUCGACCGCGAGGAAGCCACCUGGUUGGAAGGGUGGUGACGGUAGUGGUAGAAGAAGCGCCGGCUAACUACGUG